AAAUUGAAGAGUUUGAUCAUGGCUCAGAUUGAACGCUGGCGGCAGGCCUAACACAUGCAAGUCGAACGGUAACAGGAAGCAGCUUGCUGCUUUGCUGACGAGUGGCGGACGGGUGAGUAAUGUCUGGGAAACUGCCUGAUGGAGGGGGAUAACUACUGGAAACGGUGGCUAAUACCGCAUAACGUCGCAAGACCAAAGAGGGGGACCUUCGGGCCUCUUGCCAUCAGAUGUGCCCAGAUGGGAUUAGCUUGUUGGUGAGGUAACGGCUCACCAAGGCGACGAUCCCUAGCUGGUCUGAGAGGAUGACCAGCCACACUGGAACUGAGACACGGUCCAGACUCCUACGGGAGGCAGCAGUGGGGAAUAUUGCACAAUGGGCGCAAGCCUGAUGCAGCCAUGCCGCGUGUAUGAAGAAGGCCUUCGGGUUGUAAAGUACUUUCAGCGGGGAGGAAGGUGUUGCGGUUAAUAACCGCAGCAAUUGACGUUACCCGCAGAAGAAGCACCGGCUAACUCCGUGCCAGCAGCCGCGGUAAUACGGAGGGUGCAAGCGUUAAUCGGAAUUACUGGGCGUAAAGCGCACGCAGGCGGUCUGUCAAGUCGGAUGUGAAAUCCCCGGGCUCAACCUGGGAACUGCAUUCGAAACUGGCAGGCUUGAGUCUUGUAGAGGGGGGUAGAAUUCCAGGUGUAGCGGUGAAAUGCGUAGAGAUCUGGAGGAAUACCGGUGGCGAAGGCGGCCCCCUGGACAAAGACUGACGCUCAGGUGCGAAAGCGUGGGGAGCAAACAGGAUUAGAUACCCUGGUAGUCCACGCCGUAAACGAUGUCUACUUGGAGGUUGUGCCCUUGAGGCGUGGCUUCCGGAGCUAACGCGUUAAGUAGACCGCCUGGGGAGUACGGCCGCAAGGUUAAAACUCAAAUGAAUUGACGGGGGCCCGCACAAGCGGUGGAGCAUGUGGUUUAAUUCGAUGCAACGCGAAGAACCUUACCUGGUCUUGACAUCCACAGAACUUUCCAGAGAUGGAUUGGUGCCUUCGGGAACUGUGAGACAGGUGCUGCAUGGCUGUCGUCAGCUCGUGUUGUGAAAUGUUGGGUUAAGUCCCGCAACGAGCGCAACCCUUAUCCUUUGUUGCCAGCGGUUAGG
rnacentral:rRNA from 1 species